rnacentral:rRNA from 1 species
UACGAAGGGGGCUAGCGUUGUUCGGAAUCACUGGGCGUAAAGGGCGCGUAGGCGGCUUUGUAAGUCGGGGGUGAAAGCCUGUGGCUCAACCACAGAAUUGCCUUCGAUACUGCAUGGCUUGAGACCGGAAGAGGUAAGUGGAACUGCGAGUGUAGAGGUGAAAUUCGUAGAUAUUCGGAGGAACACCAGUGGCGAAGGCGGCUCACUGGUCCGGUACUGACGCUGAGGUGCGAAAGCGUGGGGAGCAAACAGG